GUUUUAUAAGAGUCUGGCGUUUCCCCUCCUUGUGCUUUUCUCUCGUGUGCCAUGUGAAGAACCUUGCUUCCUCUUUGCCUUCCACCAUGAUUACUCUUACCAGUUGUUUUAAUUGCUAAGACAACCCAGUUCUGCAUGAGCUACAGCCAACUUCACAAAGACUCUUCAGAGGUUCCUGCUGGGCCUCCCACUGCUCCAGUGCUUUUGAUGAAGCUAGACUAUUCCCUGCAGCAGUUCCUUUUCCCAUGUUUUGGCCUCUGAGGAUCAACAGUACAGCUCUAUCUUCUUUUUGAUGAGAUCUUUAGUCUCUCUUGCUUCAGGUGCCUGGAUGUUGAGGGGCAAAUAGGACUGUUCACUGAAGGAGCUAGAGAAUGGAAGAGAAGGUUGUGUCAGAUAGAAAUAACAGAAGCUUUCUGAAAUGAAAACAGAAAUGUUACAACUUGCACCACAGUACUGGACUGAAACGAAGAUGUAACACAGCCAUAAUAAUUUAAAUUAAUAGCAAAUAAAUAAAGAAAAAAAGAACUUCAUUGUGAGGACCAUAGUCAUGGGAUAGCUCUGUCUUUUCGGGGAAAGUGGAGUAGAGGGACAGAGUCACCCCAGGAGAAAAAAUGCUUAAAUUAAGACUCCCUGAGAGACUGAAUAAGAGUAUGAUUAGUUCAGCCUUGCUUUCAUCCUCCACUUCCCCCUCCCACUGUAGACUUCAGUUUUAAUAAUGAUUAAAGAAUAAUGCCUGAAUCCCAU
rnacentral:lncRNA from 1 species